UAGGGAAUCUUCCGCAAUGGGCGAAAGCCUGACGGAGCAACGCCGCGUGAGUGAUGAAGGUCUUCGGAUCGUAAAACUCUGUUAUUAGGGAAGAACAAAUGUGUAAGUAACUAUGCACGUCUUGACGGUACCUAAUCAGAAAGCCACGGCUAACUACGUGCCAGCAGCCGCGGUAAUACGUAGGUGGCAAGCGUUAUCCGGAAUUAUUGGGCGUAAAGCGCGCGUAGGCGGUUUUUUAAGUCUGAUGUGAAAGCCCACGGCUCAACCUUGGAGAGUCAUUGGAAACUGGAAAACUUGAGUGCAGAAGAGGAAAGUGGAAUUCCAUGUGUAGCGGUGAGAUGCGCAGAGAUAUGGAGGAACACCAGUGGCGAAGGCGACUUUCUGGUCUGUAACUGACGCUGAUGUGCGAAAGCGUGGGGAUCAAACAGG
rnacentral:rRNA from 1 species